CAUAGCGACUAUCGUGGCAUAUCAAUAAGCGGAGGAAAAGAAACUAACAAGGAUUCCCCUAGUAACGGCGAGUGAAGCGGGAAGAGCUCAAAUUUGAAAUCUUCAAGGGUUUCCCUUGACGAAUUGUAGUUUAAAGAAGUGUUUUCUGUUAGAGAGGUGGUAAAAGUUCUUUGGAAUAGGACAUCAUAGAGGGUGAGAAUCCCGUAUUUGAUCACUUUCUACUAACGUUGUGAUACACUUUCAAAGAGUCGGAUUGUUUGGGAAUGCAGUCCAAAAUGGGUGGUAAAUUUCAUCUAAAGCUAAAUAUUGGCGAGAGACCGAUAGCGAACAAGUACCGUGAGGGAAAGAUGAAAAGAACUUUGAAAAGAGAGUUAAACAGUACGUGAAAUUGUCAAAAGGGAAGCGUUUGACACCAGUGUUGUUUUUUCCGAAAAUCAAUUAUGAAUGGCUUGAUUUUAAGUUUCAUGACCUUAAAAGCUUGUUUCUUAUUUUUCAUGUCUUUCGUAAUGCACUUUUCGGUUAACAAGUCAACAUCAAUCUCUUUUGUUGUAAAAGGUUAAGAGGAAGGUGGCUAUACUUUCGGGUAAAGUGUUUAUAGCCUUUUAACUCUGCAAUCGGAGAGAUUGAGGUCUGCAGCGUAGAUCCUUCGGGGUUAGAUACAGUUUGUGCUAAGUUAUAGCUUUUCAUAGACAACUUGUUGACUAUGAUCAGUCUUGUAAUCUUACUCGCAUGAUGCUAUUUUACCUACGCUUAGGAUGUUGAUAGUCACAGCGUGUAC
rnacentral:rRNA from 1 species